UGGGGAAUAUUGGACAAUGGGCGAAAGCCUGAUCCAGCCAUGCCGCGUGUGUGAAGAAGGUCUUCGGAUUGUAAAGCACUUUAAGUUGGGAGGAAGGGCAGUAAGUUAAUACCUUGCUGUUUUGACGUUACCAACAGAAUAAGCACCGGCUAACUUCGUGCCAGCAGCCGCGGUAAUACGAAGGGUGCAAGCGUUAAUCGGAAUUACUGGGCGUAAAGCGCGCGUAGGUGGUUCAGCAAGUUGGAUGUGAAAUCCCGCCGGCACAGCAUGGACAAGCUCAACUGAGCUAGAGUACGGUAGAGGGUGGUGGAAUUUCCUGUGUAGCGGUGAAAUGCGUUAGAUAUAGGAAGGAACACCAGUGGCGAAGGCGACCACCUGGACUGAUACUGACACUGAGGUGCGAAAAGCGUGGGGAGGCAAACA
rnacentral:rRNA from 1 species